rnacentral:rRNA from 1 species
GGGGCUGCUUUUGUGGGUCCUGGAUGAGUGGCGAACGGGUGAGUAACACGUGAGUAACUGCCCCUUCUUCUGGAUAACCGCAUGAAAGUGUGGCUAAUACGGGAUAUUCUGGGUCUGUCGCAUGAUGGUGCCUGGGAAAGAUUGCGCUUUUUUGGUGUUUUUGGUGGGGGAUGGGCUCGCGGCCUAUCAGCUUGUUGGUGGGGUGAUGGCCUACCAAGGCGGUGACGGGUAGCCGGCCUGAGAGGGUGGACGGUCACACUGGGACUGAGACACGGCCCAGACUCCUACGGGAGGCAGCAGUGGGGAAUAUUGCACAAUGGGCGCAAGCCUGAUGCAGCGACGCCGCGUGAGGGAUGGAGGCCUUCGGGUUGUGAACCUCUUUCGCCAGUGAAGCAGGCCUGCCCUGUGUGGGUGGGUUGACGGUAGCUGGAUAAGAAGCGCCGGCUAACUACGUGCCAGCAGCCGCGGUAAUACGUAGGGCGCGAGCGUUGUCCGGAAUUAUUGGGCGUAAAGAGCUCGUAGGCGGCUGGUCGCGUCUGUCGUGAAAUCCUCUGGCUUAACUGGGGGCUUGCGGUGGGUACGGGCCGGCUUGAGUGCGGUAGGGGAGACUGGAACUCCUGGUGUAGCGGUGGAAUGCGCAGAUAUCAGGAAGAACACCGGUGGCGAAGGCGGGUCUCUGGGCCGUUACUGACGCUGAGGAGCGAAAGCGUGGGGAGCGAACAGGAUUAGAUACCCUGGUAGUCCACGCCGUAAACGUUGGGCACUAGGUGUGGGGGGCCUUUUCCGGGUCCUCCGCGCCGUAGCU